rnacentral:rRNA from 1 species
GAAUGCAGGGGCGAGCCCUGACGCAGCAACGCCGCGUGGAGGAUGAAGAUCUUUGGAUUGUAAACUUCUGUUUGAUCGGGAAGAAAAGUCAAUGGUCAAUACCCAUUUGCACUGACGUUACCGAUAAAGAAAGCACCGGCUAAUCGCGUGCCAGCAGCCGCGGUAAUACGAGA